CCCAUCGGACUAAUAACUCCUCUCCCCCUCCCCCUGUCAUCCUCCUCCUCCAAAACAAAAACGCGCGCAGCACACACACAAACCGUGUCGGGGAGUCAGCAGCACCUCGCUGAGGCGUAGGGCUGGUUCCUGCAACUUCUAGCCCCGUCCCUGAUGGGGGACCUCUGAAGAGGGUGGCUGAGCCAGACACGUCCAGGUCAGAAGCGAUCGACAGCAAUUAGCCUUUCCCGUCAAACGCCUCCCUCCACCCAAAGGAGCCAGGCGCUUGGAGGAGGCGGAGGAAAGCGGAAGGUGUAUCAAUCACACCAAGGUAAAGUGUGAUUGUCAGACAAGCAUGAUUGCUGCCACAACACCUUACAGCAAUAGGUGCCAUAUUGCAUUUGCUCUUCAAAUGGUGGAAUACAGCUGUGGAUACUUUAGUGGGGAUUAACAGAGUACAAACACUGAAUGACUAAAGACAUCAAACAUCAUCAUUUGGAUUUAUACAUCUAUUAAUAAACUGAUAAAACUGGUGGUAGUGGCUCUUGAAGAAAUCAGAAAAUAUGGAAGGUGCUGUUGAAAAUGGUCUGGAGAUCGCUUUGACAAUGAUAUUCUACAAUUAAAAUAAGCUGCUGAAGCAUUGUCACAGGACAGCAAGGAUUGAUGAAUAUCCUUCAGUAUAGGUUCAAAGCAAGAAAUUUGAGAAUCUAGAGGAGCCAAACAAAGAUAAAUAGUGAGCCAAUUUUCCAAACUGGCAAUGACAUACUAGGAUUUGGAAGAAGUACGCUUUUGGAGCUGAGCAUGCACAAGGACCUCAAGAUUUGGCCCUUAGCCCAGUCACAACUGUGUGGCAGAUGAAGAAUGUCCCAAGUGAUUCUUCCAGCACCAGCUGAGAGACUUCUGGCUUAUUUUUGUUCACAUCAGCCACUAACACAUUUUAAGGUAUGAGUCAUGUCAGUACAGUGAAAGAGGAGGAUUUAUAUUUUUGAAGUGGAAUUGUGUAUGUGAUCAAAGGAUUUACAUGCAGCUCUCUGUGCUGUAGUUCCUUCCUGCCCCAGGAGGGACACCUGGGGUUUCCCUGGAUAGGAACGAGGCCCAAAAGUCAAGCCAGUCUUCCUAAGUGAGGGACCUGCUCAGAAACUGCUCACUGAAGGACAGUAGGUCUUGCCUGUCGCUCUUGCUGUUAUGGCAGGAGGUGUUGCAAUGGUGACCAAGCUAUGUCCAGGUUAUGCCUUUCUUCAGAUACUAAGGACUGCAGGAACUCCUUUAUCAUUAAACUUGAAAUAGGCAUUGGUCUGAUAUGCAUCUUGGGUGAUACUGCAACAUGCUCCUGGCAUAUUAGCAGGCUUCGAGCUGCGCUGUUUGGAAGAAGCAACGUCGUCUUCCCUCACAGCUACGACGCGGCACCGCUCUCAGCAUAUCCUGCUUUUUUCCCCCAUUUACCUGGGCGGCUUCUGCUGUUUCUGUUGCUGCUGCUGGGGCUGCUGCAGUUUCGCUGCCUGUGCUUCACCCUGGCAUGUCUGAGUCGGGAAUCACUCGUCUGCACGCUGCUAAGGAAGAGCAGCGAUGGAACUCUGGCCACAUUUUUUUUUUCUGGAAGCGAAGGGUUGUGAUGUGGGGUGGGGUUGUUGUUUUUUUUUUGGAAAGGUGGGGACGUUAAUCCAAAGUGAGGUGGGAGAAAGUUUAAAGAAAUAUUACGCAAAAUAAUCCAGCACACGACAAGGGCAUCAGCAGCAAGAAGCCAGCCUCUGCUGCUCGAAAGGAUUACAUGGGAAAAGCCACAGUGGUGCAGUAGUGUUUCACCUCAGCAUUGUGCUGGAGAUGGAUGAAUAAGGUAUCUGAUAUGUCCGCCUGUAAAGGCAAAGCUAUGGGAGGAAGAGAGCGAGAGAGCAAAUGAAAAGGAAGAAGAAACACUGUAUUCUGUUUGUCUGAUUCUGUGCGUUCUUAUUCUAGAGAUGGUUGCAUAAUUUACCAAACAAUGUAUGGACGGAGGGACUGUAAAUUGUAGUCUGAACACUCCCGACGCUGUCAGGGAGGGAACUGAUGGGCUAGGUGACUGCACUGACAUCCCCAGGGAAAACGGCCGUCAUGCAGUAUAUAUUUAUAUAUGUAUGUGUAUCUCUUGUGUGUCCAUGUGUAGACAUGAAAAAAGGCAUUUCUGACCAAUUUAUACAGGAAGUUUGUCACUUUGCUAGAUCAGACUUGAUUACAGCAUAUAUUUUCAGCUACAACUCUACACCCAUUUCCUGAAUCAGAAGGUGCUUUGUGAAAACAGACGUAUGCAGAAUUCUUUUAAGAAAUGUGAAAGCAGCUCCUUUUGAUUUAACACCUUGAAGCACUGAAUCUUCUGCACUGUGCCGAGAGGAACUGUGUGGGUUUUGUUUUCUUCAUCUUAAAAUCUUUAUAAACACAGCUGUAUUCAGUAUGGUGAAAAAUUCUAUAUUGUAAAUAGAAAUGCGAUCAAUCUAAUCAAAAUAAAUGUAUCCCAGAUGACUGCUAGACCAGCUGGCUACCACAGUCUUCAGAUGGCUAAAUGCUCGACUGAGAUAGAUUCAGCAUUAUAUUUACUACUACUUUUUUUUAUUUCAAAAUCAGCCUAUAAUUAAAAAAAGAUUCUUGGUCCGGUUAAAAGAGGCAAUGCUCCACAACUGGCAGUGCAUCAUUCUGAAAUGGACACUGAUAUUUUUCAUUUCUGGACGUGCCUUUGGAAGAUUGUGUUUUAGAACAGAUGGACUUGUCAUCAUACAGACAUACUUAGUAUGGUGAAAACUAGUAGACAGCUCAGGUUGGCCAUAUCCAUAUAAUGUGCAAAAUGAAGUUAAGGGAAACAAAUGCCGCACUCAAGUAGUGGAGACUUGGUAGGAUUUUUAGCAACCACCUACUGUGAGUGUUUUGGGGUUUUUUUAAACACGAAUCCAAAACCCAUAAAGUCAUCUUAAAAUUUGUAUGAGGGGAUUUCCCAAUAGUCAUGGUGAGCUAUCCUGCAAGAUGCCUGCCUGGGCCUUCCACAAUUUGUUACCAGGUCUACAAAGGCAGCCCUGUAUGUUGGAUUAUAUUUAGCCAGCUGUUGGAUAACAUUCCUGUGUUGUGGGCGGAGGAGUCUUAUUACUUCCAAACUGUAGUUAUCUGUUUAAAGGAAAAAUAGUUUUAGAAAAUACAUUGAGCUCAGCUGAGGAGUUGCACCUCUCCUGUACCUUUCUCAAGUGCUGUGUUUCCAACCCAGCCACUUUAAAACAAAACUGGGAGGAGGAAGAGAGACUUUAACUCAGAGCUUCAAAGCUGCAGAGACAAGCAAAAUGUCAGCAGCUUGUAAUUAGCUGCUCAUGGUUACGUCAGUGACUGUAUCUCUCCAAGAAUAACUGUGAUGUGUGCCACAAAGUAAGGAAGAUAGUCAUAACCUAGUUAUCAAGCCUGGUUCAAACAAGAGCAAAUGGAUUAAUGAAUCUGCUGUGUUCAUAAAUCAAAUAUGGAUGGAUUACAUAUAUGACUUACUGAAUUCUGUAUAAUUGAAGGGUGAAUUAGGAACUUGCCAGAGGGCACGUUCACUAAGUAAAAGUGUGAAUCCUUUUAAAAAUGCAGAUGAACUAUCCCUGAAAAUGUCUUUAAGGGCUCCAUCUAGUACAAGCAACUGUGAGACACUGACGCAUGCUACAAAGGAAAACACCAAGAGACACACGGAGGUGCUUAAAAGAAAGGGAGUAAUAAAACACAAAGCAUGCUGAAAUUCUGUUUUGGCAUUACAGAUUUGAUACUAAAAUACCACCCCAGAGAAGACUUAUUGUGGUCUGAUGUGGUUUACAUUGACUCCUCUGUUUGGGUGCAAAAAAAGAAAAAAGAUUUUGUGAGGCUCAGUGCAACAUCUUGGAGCCAAGCAGAAAACCAUCAAUACUGCAGAGUACCAGGAAUGCUUGCUUUUAAAGGGACAAGAUCAAUCCAUGCUAGGAUCCUUCUGUACUCUGCAAUUAUUUUAGGUCUAUGUUGGCAAUUCAGCAACAUUUAAACAGUGAGAUUGUGGGGGGUACUUAAUCUGCUCUGAUUGGCCUUUUUCCACAUUGUUGCUGUAAAAUAUUUACAUGGCUUUUAUCCAUACACCUUACAACAUUCAGUUUGCAUUUCUGUUUGUGUUCAUGCUGCACAAUUGCUACAAGCCUGGUUUGUUUCCAUAUUCCCAGCAGAAGUCAGUUUCAGUUCAGCUAUGUUUAUUUAGCUCCUUAAUACACCAAGAUAGAUAGAUAGAUUGUAUUUUGCAAACACAGAUUUUUUUUUCUUUUUUUUUUUUUACUGCGAACACAAAUUUGUAGGAGGAGAUGACUGUACAUUAAGCCAAUACCUCUUUGAAAUGCAUGUAAUAUAAUUUAAAUAUACUUAAUUUAAUUAAUAGAAGGUUACAAAAGCUGGCAUUGUCUGAGCCUGUUUAAUUUACAUCUUAGACUUAGUCAAUGAGCAUAACCUGCCUGAUCGGAAUAGUGUAUUCUGUGCGCCCAACAGGGUGGAAGACAUUAUUUUGUUUGUGUUAGUUCAAACAGCUGGUCAUUAAUGCAGGACCCAUCUCCAGAGUGAAGUGCUAGUGGACAUGAAUGGCUCCCUGAUUAAUGCUGCCCCUCGAAGGGUCCUUCAUCCAGCAGCGAUGCUUGCAGCAGAAUAAUGCAGCAUGAUUUGAUUGCGCUCUAGCAGGGUAGUAUGUCAUUGUGUCACCAGGCAAUUGAGGUUAUUAUGGAGCAGGGCAGACAGACGGGACAGUGGGGUUACUAGACCGUGGCAUUUUUAGAAAUACAGGCCUGACCUACUUAGAGUUAUUCUUGCCGGCUGGCAGCUUCAUGGUGCAUGGAGUGUCCUGAUAGGCCGAGGCUGUUGCUAGGGGGAAUUAGCAUGAAUUUUUCCACAUACAGACUCGGUGAUUGAAUGAUAAAAGCUGACUGGAAUUAAAGAGAUUCGGUUCAGUAUUAUGCAGAUUUAUCUCCCUCAUUUUUCUCUCUCAAAUGCAGAAAAAGGAGCAAAAGACAGUUUGUUUCCAUUUAUUCUUUGACCUAUUUUUUGCAGAGGAGGGCAAAAGAGUUAUGAAAUGUUAAUCAUUUACUGUUUUAAUGUCUAAAAUGAUGCUGCCUAGGGUAAGAUAUUUAAGUUCAUAGACUGCUUGGAACAGGUAACAGAUUAGGGGUUUUUUUCUCUCUCUCUCCUGUGCACUGCACUAUUUUGAGGCAUGCAUCUUUCAUGUACUGUAUAUUUGAACUCUGUCCCCUUUAGAAGAGAAUGAAACAUGUAUAUAAAUUUUGUUCUAUCCAAACAACUGGCUUGUUUAAAAGAAGCUAUGUAGGAUUCCCAGUUUGGAAAGGAAAAUAUAAUCCAGCUUUUAUUGCAUAACAUUAUUCUUGACUCUUUUUAGCUAUCCUUGCUUCACAAAAUUAGUCUGUUUAUGUUCCUGGAUGAAAGUCUUCUCCCCAGUCUCUGUCUCCCAUAUGCACAGACACACCCAAGAUUUCCUAUAGAGGACAGUGUUGUGUGUAGUGUUUAUCUGGAAAACUGUUUGCAUACUGAUGACAUAUCUGUACUGCAUGUACAGUAGAUACUUAUAGCUGGCCGGUGAUCAGUUUGAUAAGAUAACCUCUUCUGGAUUUCCUAAUAGCUUUCUGUGUUCAGUUUGGAACUGGAUUUUCUCAGUAGCUCUUUUUUUAUACCCAUCCCCUUAAAUCAGUGUGGCGGUGUUUUUUUUAACAGAAUUCUAA